AGUUUUGGCUCUGCCUAACAAACUUUUAUUUUAUCAUAAAGUUUGACCUCAAAUCAGGUAAGACUACCCGCUGAACUUAAGCAUAUCAAUAAGCGGAGGAAAAGAAACCAACAGGGAUUGCCUCAGUAACGGCGAGUGAAGCGGCAAGAGCUCAAAUUUGAAAUCUAGUACCUUUGGUGCUCGAGUUGUAAUUUGAAGAAGGUAAUCUUGGAUUUGGCCUUUGUCUAUGUUCCUUGGAACAGGACGUCACAGAGGGUGAGAAUCCCGUGCGAUGAGGUGUCCAUUUCUAUGUAAGAUGCUUUCGAAGAGUCGAGUUGUUUGGGAAUGCAGCUCUAAGUGGGUGGUAAAUUCCAUCUAAAGCUAAAUAUUGGCGAGAGACCGAUAGCGAACAAGUACAGUGAUGGAAAGAUGAAAAGAACUUUGAAAAGAGAGUGAAAAAGUACGUGAAAUUGUUGAAAGGGAAGGGUAUUAGAUCAGACUUGGUAUUUAGCUAUCAUUGCUCCUUGUGGGUGGUGCUCUAGCUUUUUACUGGGCCAACAUCAGUUUUGGUGGCAAGAUAAUGGCAUUUGAAUGUGGCUCCUCGGAGUGUUAUAGCUUUUGUUGAUAUUGCUACCGGGACUGAGGUCUGCGGCGUGCCUAGGAUGUGCGC
rnacentral:rRNA from 1 species